rnacentral:rRNA from 1 species
GAAUUCGCCCUUAGAGUUUGAUCCUGGCUCAGGAUGAACGCUGGCGGCGCGCCUAACACAUGCAAGUCGAACGGAGCUGAGAGAAGCUUGCUUUUCUUAGCUUAGUGGCGAACGGGUGAGUAACGCGUGAGUAACCUGCCCUGGAGUGGGGGACAACAGUUGGAAACGACUGCUAAUACCGCAUAAGCCCACGGCCCGGCAUCGGGCUGAGGGAAAAGGAUUUAUUCGCUUCAGGAUGGACUCGCGUCCAAUUAGCUAGUUGGUGAGGUAACGGCCCACCAAGGCGACGAUUGGUAGCCGGACUGAGAGGUUGAACGGCCACAUUGGGACUGAGACACGGCCCAGACUCCUACGGGAGGCAGCAGUGGGGGAUAUUGCACAAUGGGGGAAACCCUGAUGCAGCGACGCCGCGUGGAGGAAGAAGGUUUUCGGAUUGUAAACUCCUGUCGUUAGGGACGAUAAUGACGGUACCUAACAAGAAAGCACCGGCUAACUACGUGCCAGCAGCCGCGGUAAAACGUAGGGUGCAAGCGUUGUCCGGAAUUACUGGGUGUAAAGGGAGCGCAGGCGGACCGGCAAGUUGGAAGUGAAAACUAUGGGCUCAACCCAUAAAUUGCUUUCAAAACUGUUGGCCUUGAGUAGUGCAGAGGUAGGUGGAAUUCCCGGUGUAGCGGUGGAAUGCGUAGAUAUCGGGAGGAACACCAGUGGCGAAGGCGACCUACUGGGCACCAACUGACGCUGAGGCUCGAAAGCAUGGGUAGCAAACAGAAUGAGAUACCCUGGUAGUCCAUGCCGUAAAC